CAACGUUCACCUCUUUCGAAGAGGCGCAGUUCGAUUCAGGCCAAGGAACGGGGACCUGAA
ncrna:unclassified sequences Glutamine-II riboswitch (downstream peptide RNA)